AGAGUGAACGCUGGCGGUAGGCCUAACACAUGCAAGUCGAACGGCAGCACAGUAGGAGCUUGCUCUUACGGGUGGCGAGUGGCGGACGGGUGAGGAAUACAUCGGAAUCUACCUUUUGGUGGGGGAUAACGUAGGGAAACUUACGCUAAUACCGCAUACGCCCUUCGGGGGAAAGCCGGGGACCAGCAAUGGCCUGGCGCUGAUAGAUGAGCCGAUGUCGGAUUAGCUAGUUGGUGAGGUAAUGGCUCACCAAGGCGACGAUCCGUAGCUGGUCUGAGAGGAUGAUCAGCCACACUGGAACUGAGACACGGUCCAGACCUCCGUACGGGAGGCAGCAGGUGGGGAAA
rnacentral:rRNA from 1 species